UGAUUCAAAGGAUUUCCCCCCACCAUCUCGAUGUCUCAUGGAAAUGCCAACUCGUUAACUUCUCACACUGGAAGAAAUGGAGAACUGCUGGAGUGUUCAAAAGCGGAGACAAAUGGAGGAUCUGCAACAGACAGAGUGCUGCCAGUGAGAAUUAAUGGAGGUCCUGGCGUAAGAGGCCGAGAGCCAGUUAUAAAAAAGCUGGGUACCAGCAGCACUGCCUUCAUUGGACCUGUAUGCUGUCCUCCUAAGGCAGUCCAGAGAGCUCCCAAACCCCCAAAAGUAAGGAAACUUUCCAAACCUAACAUUGAAGAGACACUGAGUGAGUUCUACAAAGAGCUUGAGGAGAUUGAUCCAAAAGACAGCGUUGACAGUAGCACGGCCAAAAAUGAAGGCUCAGUUGAAUUACUCACGGCUCAUAACCCACCCCCUGCAAGAGAAGUGUCAAACGCAAGCCAUGGCCAUAAGCAACCUAAUCAUGUGCCUUGCCCACACUGGUAUGACAACGAGCCAUACCAGCCCAGGAGACCGAUACCUAAGGGGCCCAGCUAUGGUCCCUACUCAGAUCAUAAUCACUGGCAACCUCCCCCACCUUUCCACAGUCAGCCAUACUACAGGUUCCACAGACCUCCCCACCGCUUCCUGCCACCACCUCCAAUCCCCUGCCUCCCGCCACUACCUCCCACAGACCACCGGUAUCACCCCCAACGAGAGGGCUCCCAGCAGGUCCCACCUUUUCACAGGUUCCCUGUCCCUGAUGGGUACAGGAACUCUCCAGACUUGGAUGGCCAUGCCUUUCCCCCACAGCACUCUAACAACAGAGACAGAGGGGGCUACGGUUGGAGAGAUGACAAGUAUGAUCAGCAGGGUAAUGACCAGCCUUAUAACCAGCAAGGUUCUUCUGAAUGGCAGCAGAGGUUUGACAGAGCACUUGAGCCACCUCUGCCAGAGGAUCAGCACCAACCACCAGAAGAUAAAACAUAUGACUAUGAUCCUUCUCUGGUUCUCAUUCUGAUGAGGGGAGCCCCGGGAUCUGGGAAAUCAACACUGGCCAGGGAACUGCUGUCGACAGGCUCCAGUGGGCAGGUUCUGAGUACAGAUGACUACUUCUCCCAGGAAGAAGGCUACCUCUACGAUCCCAGUCUGCUGGGGGCCGCACACCACUGGAACCAGAACCGAGCCCAAGAAGCCAUGUGUAAAUGCUGUUCUCCUGUCAUUAUUGAUAACACAAAUAUGCAAGCUUGGGAAAUGAAGCCAUACGUUAAACUGGCCUUGGAGAGAGGAUACAGUAUCAACUUUCAUGAGCCUCACACCAGCUGGAAAUUUGAUCCCGUCGAGUUAGAGAAGAUCGACAGUGCCGAGGUUGGACCACAGUGAGAACGAGGAUAUCACAGUCAUGAAGAGUCUGGUUGCACAGGACGACGACAGCAAGCCCUGCAGGUGACGCAAACGACGGACAGCCGCUUCCAGCCAGGACGACAAGGCAGGCCAGGAGGCCAAGCCCAAACGUGGGGGAGGAGCCGUGGGCUGAGACCAAUGCCGCAGACACCACCCUGGAGACGAAAGAUGAACAGAACAAUCCUCCCAAAAGGGGUCGCAGGAGACAGCCCCCAAGGGCAUGAGGGGCCGGAAGAAGGCUGCUUGUCAAGCUGAGGAGGAAGAGGAGCAGGGAGAGGAGGAAGAAGGCAGCAGUGAGAACAUGGAAGUGAAGCCCACGGUGCAGAGAGGAGGCAGGGCACCACGGAGGUCGCAGCAGAGGCUACUGAUUACUUUUUUAAAUGGCUAAUUGUAGAUUGCCGCGGAGCAAUAUGUUGCUCUGGAGCCUCGGGUUUCAGGCCCUUGGUCUAAAUGGACACAUUGAUAGGUUGAUAAAUCGAUAGCCAACGCCUAACAUGCUACUAAUCUCUUGAAAGAGAAGGUGUGGAUGAGGAAUCUUUUGUGACAUUUUGUUGAUGUAUGUGUUCUUUUACAGACGACUGCAGAAUCCACGCCACAGAAAAGAUGGGGGAGACCUCUCAAAGCACAGCAACAUUCAGCCAUGAAAAAUAUUCACACAGGACGUUUGAGUAAAGAGAACGAGUCCGAGGUGGAGGAGAUGGAGAUGUCUCAGAGCCAGGAAGAGGAGGAGAGCAAGACCACAACCAGAGACAAUGACCCAACACACCUCCAGGCUGGGUAAGGGCUAUUUGACCAAGGAGAGUGAUGGAGUGCUGCAUCAGAUGACCUGGCCUCCAGAGUGAAGGAAAAGCAGCCAUCAGCUUUCAUCGAGGUGCGACGGAAGAUGGGCAGGAGAAGAUGAGACAGAGAUCAUGUUUUUUUCUCCAAGGUCAGGGGGCCCGUGACCACGAGGACAAGAACAGAUGGAGAGGAGCUGUACAUCGAUCGCCUAGGCGAUUUGCAUUUUAUUGUGCAUGUGCAAAGGUGCCUUUGCAGAUGAUGAAAAAAAAUGACAAGUGACAAAUCCAAGAUUAAAUCAAGUAUUUGGUCCAUUUUGCUGCCAGGCAUUGUUUUAUUAGUGUUUUGAGACGGAGAAAGGAGUAUUAAAUAGAUAAGAAUACAAUUAA